rnacentral:rRNA from 1 species
UACAGAGGGGGCAAGCGUUGUUCGGAAUUACUGGGCGUAAAGGGCGCGUAGGCGGCCUUCUAAGUCGAACGUGAAAUCCCCGGGCUCAACCCGGGAACUGCGUCCGAUACUGGAAGGCUUGAAUCCGGGAGAGGGAUGCGGAAUUCCAGGUGUAGCGGUGAAAUGCGUAGAUAUGUGGAGGAACACCUGUGGCGAAGGCGCCUUGCUGGCCAAUUUCUGACGCUGAGGCGCGAAAGCGUGGGGAGCAAACAGG